rnacentral:rRNA from 1 species
UGGGGAAUAUUGCACAAUGGGCGAAAGCCUGAUGCAGCAACGCCGCGUGAGUGAUGAAGGCCUUCGGGUUGUAAAGCUCUGUCUUUUGGGACGAUAAUGACGGUACCAAAGGAGGAAGCCACGGCUAACUACGUGCCAGCAGCCGCGGUAAUACGUAGGUGGCAAGCGUUGUCCGGAUUUACUGGGCGUAAAGGAUGCGUAGGCGGAUUUUUAAGUGAGAUGUGAAAUACCCGGGCUUAACUUGGGUGCUGCAUUUCAAACUGGGAAUCUAGAGUGCGGGAGAGGAGAAUGGAAUUCCUAGUGUAGCGGUGAAAUGCGUAGAGAUUAGGAAGAACACCAGUGGCGAAGGCGAUUCUCUGGACCGUAACUGACGCUGAGGCAUGAAAGCGUGGGUAGCAAACAGGAUUAGAUACCCUGGUAGUCCACGCCGUAAACGAUGAGUACUAGGUGUAGGAGGUAUCGACCCCUUCUGUGCCGCAGUUAACACAAUAAGUACUCCGCCUGGGAAGUACGAUCGCAGGAUUAAAACUCAAAUGAAUUGACGGGGUC